GAGAGAGAGAGAGAGAGAGAGAGAGAGAGAGAGAGAGAGAGAGAGAGAGAGAGAGAGAGAGAGAGAGAGAGAGAGAGACUAUAUAUGUGGCUGGGGGGCAUGUGUCUGUGGGGGUUGUAAACAUGCUGUGGGGUGACAUCCUGUGGGUCCUGUGGCUGUGAUGAGGAGAGAGAGAGAGAGAGAGAGAGAGAGAGAGAGAGAGAGAGAGAGAGAGAGAGAGAGAAUGCUCACUACAAAUCCCCAUGUAUCCCAAUGUAACUAUAAACCCCAAUAAAAGAGAUUAUACCACUAAAACUCUCUACCUAAUAAUACCCUGCAAGAGAGUGUUACUGAACCCACUAAUACCUUCACUACUACUACCCAAGAUGCCCCAAUAAACUAUACCUACCACCACAAUGUAUAGAUUCAGGAUAUCACAGUGUAUACCCAAUGUUCUAAGGCUGUCAAUAGAUAUCAAGGCUUCUGUUAGUGGUGGUUCAGGGGCAAUAUAGGACAGGGAGUGUUGGUCUUUGGGUAUGGGCUAAGUAGUAGUUGUGUAAGUUUAGUCACAGCCAGUAUUGUAAGCAUAUCUGUGGUACACUGGGCAUUAUAGGACAGGGAGAAAGCGCCUUUGUAUUGCUUUUUAGUUCAGAGAGUACAUUAGCUUUUAACCAGGUAGCAGCGACGGACCAAAUUUGUGGCUUUACCGUGUAGCAGCGACGGACCAAAUUUGUGGCUUUACCAUGUAGCAGCGACGGACCAAAUUUGUGGCUUUACCGUGUAGCAGCAACGGACCAAAUUUGUGGCUUUACCGUGUAGCAGCGACGGACCAAAUUUGUGGCUUUACCGUGUAGCAGCGACGGACCAAAUUUGUGGCUUUACCAUGUAGCAGCGACAGACCAAAUUUGUGGCUUUACCGUGUAGCAGCGACGGGCCAAAUUUGUGCCAUGAUUUAAACCCCCCAAAAUAGAUGAUACAUAAUCUGAUCACAAAUGCUUUGAUAUAUAUUAUGAAAUGGUUUGUGUGAGGGGUGAUUUUUUCUCGCUUGGGGGAACCAUUAAGAAACAUGAUCCUCGCUGCUACCGGGUUAACAGAGCACUACGAUAGGAGAAUGUGGCCAGCAUGUCGUAACCAAAAUAGCUGUACGUAAUUCAAAAUGACGGUGUUACGAUAGCGUUUGUGGUCUGGGGAAUUUUUCGAGAUUAUGACCAUACGGAGAGGGACUUUUUCAAGAAUACAACCAUACCUAAACCACAAAAAUAGAUUGUCAUAUCAUCAUAAAAUUGAAUAACAUAUGAGUCUUUUAGUAACAACAUGAUGCCUGCUGUGUGUAUUCAAUGCCAAGACCGAUACUUUUUGUCCUAUAAUGCACAGUGUAACACCAAUAAGCUUACAAUGCUGGGGAUGAACUGAGCUUAACACUACUACUACUACUACUACUACAACUACUGCUACAGCCAUAUGCAAAGACCAAUAAUCCCUUCCCUAUAAUGCCCAGAAAAACACCACUAACACAAGCCUUGACAUCUAUUGAGGUAUGAACUGAAUUUACACUACUACUACUACUACUACUACUACUACUACUACUAUUACUACUAUUAUUACUACUACUACAGCCAUAUGCAAAGAAAGAUAUUCCCUUUCCUAUAAUACCCAGAAAACUACCACUAACACAAGCCUCGGAUUGACCCCAACAGCUUCACGAUACAAAGUUAACAUGGUGCGGUCUUCCCUUCGGUCCCUGUAUACAAAAUGGAGACUGGAUGGUUAGAAUCAGUACUUCCAGGGUUGUUCUUGCUUGGCGUUUCAUCUCUUGGGUCCUGUGAGUGAGUUAUUGUGCGUUAUUUUGAUCCCUGUGAGAGAGAAAUGUGAGACUGGAUAGUAUUAUAGUCCAACCAAAUUGUCGAGUCUGUUUGGGCGUAUUUUUUUCCUAUCAUAUGUUACCUUUACCUUACAUAUGAGAGGAAGAGAUAGGUGUUGGGACUGUGUGGCAGAGCAGAGGGGAGAAAUGGACCCGAGGGAGCCUCCGCCCAAACGGACUCGACAAUUUAGUUGGACUAUUAGUAUAUUCCUGCUGGGGGUUUUUUGUUGGUGUUUUUGCGAAGUUGUUUUGGGUUUGGUCUUCUUACGGUCACGUUUGGGGGCUAGUUCCUUCAUAUUCCGUAACAAAACAUCACGGAAAAACAUCUCCUUUGACCUGAUAAUCUAAAUUCCUGCAUAUUCCGUAACAAAACAUUGCGGAAAAACAUCUCCUUUGACCUGAUAAUCUAAAUUCCUGCAUAUUCUGUAACAAAACAUCGCGGAAAAACAUCUCCUUUGACCUGAUAAUCUAAAUUCCUGCAUAUUCUGUAACAAAACAUCGCGGAAAAACAUCUCCUUUGACCUGAUAAUCUAAAUUCCUGCAUAUUCUGUAACAAAACAUCGCGGAAAAACAUCUCCUUUGACCUGAUAAUCUAAAUUCCUGCAUAUUCUGUAACAAAACAUCGCGGAAAAACAUCUCCUUUGACCUGAUAAUCUUAAUUCCUGCAUAUUCCAUAACAAAACAUCUUCUUUAACCUGAUAGUCUUAAUUCCUGCAUAUUCCAUAACAAAACAUCGCGGAAAAACAUCUCCUUUGACCUGAUAAUCUUAAUUCCUGCAUAUUCCGUAACAAAACAUCUUCUUUAACCCGAUAAUCUACGUUCAAAUAGUAUCUCGGAUUUGGAAGAGUCUGCCCACCCUUCCACACCACACAUCACCUUGUUCCUGCAUAUUCCAUAACAAAACAUCGCGGAAAAACAUCUUCUUUAACCCGAUAAUCUACGUUCAAAUAGUAUCUCGGAUUUGGAAGAGUCUGCCCGCCCUUCCACACCACACAUCACCUUCUGGUCCCUGCAUAUUCAAUAACAAAACAUCGCGGAAAACAUCUUCUUUAACCUGAUUAUCUACGUUCGAAUGGUACCUAAUAUUUGGAAGAGUCUGCCCGCCCUUCCACACCACACAUGAUCUUGUAGCUCCUGCACAUUCUCCUGAAACAAAAGGUCACAAAACAACAUCUUCCUUGACCUGAGAAUCCACGUUUGAGUGUUACCUGUGACCUCCAACACCUGUGAGGGAUCGAAAUGCAUUGGUUAAAGACUUCAGGUAUACAUUUCAGAGUUUUAUUCAUAACUUAACCCUAUUCAUUAAAGCGUACGGUUAUAGAUUCACCAAGUUUGCUUUAUGUCCGAUCUGCUUGGGAGGCGAGAAUGAACCCAGUCAGUUAGUCAGUCCUUUUUCUUUCCCUUCCUCUGCGACCUUUUCAGUCAAUCUUUCCCUUCCUUUGCGACCUUUUCAGUCAAUCUUUCCCUGCCUUUGCGACCUUUUCAGUCAAUCUUUCCCUUCCUUUGCGACCUUUUCAGUCAAUCUUUCCCUGCCUUUGCGACCUUUUCAGUCAAUUUUAAGCAGUCAUUCCUUUUUCCUUCCCUCCCCUUCCUCUCCCUUUCCUUUCCUUUACCUAACUUUGCGCCCUGGAUUAACCGUACCUUUCAUAUUCAAGUCCUAGAUUAACCGUACCUUCCUUUCCCGUCCCCUACGUUUUCUCCCUCAUACACCCGACGUACAUGAAUUUGCGCCCUGGAUUAACCGUACCUUCCAACCGUACCAAGUUCCCCUCACACACACACACACAUGCAUCCUGGGUUAACAUACUUCCACUGGUUGUAUAUCUUAUUAUAAUGCUGAGUGGAAUGGACACAGGCUGGCAGGUGCUUAACAGACCUUAUGCGCUACAGUAACACUUGACGGCUAUGCUCUAGAAAGGGAGGAGGCAGCGGCAAGGCACAACACUGAACUUAUAUGUAUAGUGGUCGCUGUACACUAGGCUGGGAGGAGGGAGAGAGAGAGGGGAGGAAAGGAG